rnacentral:rRNA from 1 species
AACGUAGGUUCCGAGCGUUAUCCGGAUUUACUGGGCGUAAAGCGCGUUCAGGCGGUUUGGCAAGUCGGGCGUGAAAUCCUUCGGCUCAACCGGGGGAGGUUGUCCGAUACUGCUGAACUGGAGGGCAGUAGAGGGUGGUGGAAUUCCGGGUGUAGUGGUGAAAUGCGUAGAGAUCCGGAGGAACACCAGUGGCGAAAGCGGCCACCUGGACUGCACCUGACGCUGAAACGCGAAAGCUAGGGGAGCGAACGGG